UACGGAGGGUGCAAGCGUUAUCCGGAUUUACUGGGUUUAAAGGGUGCGCAGGCGGAUAUGUAAGUCAGUGGUGAAAUCUCCGGGCUUAACCCGGAAACUGCCGUUGAUACUAUAUAUCUUGAAUGCUGUGGAGGUAAGCGGAAUAUGUCAUGUAGCGGUGAAAUGCUUAGAUAUGACAUAGAACACCUAUUGCGAAGGCAGCUUACUACACAGAUAUUGACGCUCAUGCACGAAAGCGUGGGGAUCAAACAGG
rnacentral:rRNA from 1 species